CCUACGGGAGGCAGCAGUAGGGAAUAUUGCUCAAUGGGGGAAACCCUGAAGCAGCAACGCCGCGUGGAGGAUGAAGGUUUUCGGAUUGUAAAACCCUUUUGUUCGAGAAGGAAAUGACGGUAACUAACGAAUAAGCACCGGCCAACGCCGUGCCAGCAGCCGCGGUAAUACGGAAGGUGCCAGCGUUACUCGGAAUUACUGGGCGUAAAGAGCGCGUAGGCGGGAUAGCAAGUCAGAUGUUAAAUUCUAUGGCUUAACCAUAGAACUGCAGUUGAAACUGUUAUUCUUGAGUAUGGGAGAGGUAGGUGGAAUUCUUGGUGUAGAGGUGAAAUCCGUAGAGAUCAAGAGGAAUACUCAUUGCGAAGGCGGCCUGCUAGAACAUAACUGACGCUGAUGCGCGAAAGCGUGGGGAGCAAACAGGAUUAGAUACCCGAGUAGUC
rnacentral:rRNA from 1 species